rnacentral:rRNA from 1 species
GAUGAACGCUAGCUACAGGCUUAACACAUGCAAGUCGAGGGGCAGCAUGGUCUUAGCUUGCUAAGGCCGAUGGCGACCGGCGCACGGGUGAGUAACACGUAUCCAACCUGCCGUCUACUCUUGGACAGCCUUCUGAAAGGAAGAUUAAUACAAGAUGGCAUCAUGAGUCCGCAUGUUCACAUGAUUAAAGGUAUUCCGGUAGACGAUGGGGAUGCGUUCCAUUAGAUAGUAGGCGGGGUAACGGCCCACCUAGUCUUCGAUGGAUAGGGGUUCUGAGAGGAAGGUCCCCCACAUUGGAACUGAGACACGGUCCAAACUCCUACGGGAGGCAGCAGUGAGGAAUAUUGGUCAAUGGGCGAGAGCCUGAACCAGCCAAGUAGCGUGAAGGAUGACUGCCCUAUGGGUUGUAAACUUCUUUUAUAAAGGAAUAAAGUCGGGUAUGGAUACCCGUUUGCAUGUACUUUAUGAAUAAGGAUCGGCUAACUCCGUGCCAGCAGCCGCGGUAAUACGGAGGAUCCGAGCGUUAUCCGGAUUUAUUGGGUUUAAAGGGAGCGUAGAUGGAUGUUUAAGUCAGUUGUGAAAGUUUGCGGCUCAACCGUAAAAUUGCAGUUGAUACUGGAUAUCUUGAGUGCAGUUGAGGCAGGCGGAAUUCGUGGUGUAGCGGUGAAAUGCUUAGAUAUCACGAAGAACUCCGAUUGCGAAGGCAGCCUGCUAAGCUGCAACUGACAUUGAGGCUCGAAAGUGUGGGUAUCAAACAGGAUUAGAUACCCUGGUAGUCCACACGGUAAACGAUGAAUACUCGCUGUUUGCGAUAUACUGCAAGCGGCCAAGCGAAAGCGUUAAGUAUUCCACCUGGGAAGUACGCCGGCAACGGUGAAACUCAAAGGAAUUGACGGGGGCCCGCACAAGCGGAGGAACAUGUGGUUUAAUUCGAUGAUACGCGAGGAACCUUACCCGGGCUUAAAUUGCAGAUGAAUUACGGUGAAAGCCGUAAGCCGCAAGGCAUCUGUGAAGGUGCUGCAUGGUUGUCGUCAGCUCGUGCCGUGAGGUGUCGGCUUAAGUGCCAUAACGAGCGCAACCCUUGUUGUCAGUUACUAACAGGUUCCGCUGAGGACUCUGACAAGACUGCCAUCGUAAGAUGUGAGGAAGGUGGGGAUGACGUCAAAUCAGCACGGCCCUUACGUCCGGGGCUACACACGUGUUACAAUGGGGGGUACAGAGGGCCGCUACCACGCGAGUGGAUGCCAAUCCCCAAAACCUCUCUCAGUUCGGACUGGAGUCUGCAACCCGACUCCACGAAGCUGGAUUCGCUAGUAAUCGCGCAUCAGCCACGGCGCGGUGAAUACGUUCCCGGGCCU